AGUGAAUGCUGGCGGUAGGCCUAACACAUGCAAGUCGAACGGCAGCACAGUAAGAGCUUGCUCUUACGGGUGGCGAGUGGCGGACGGGUGAGGAAUACAUCGGAAUCUACUUUUUCGUGGGGGAUAACGUAGGGAAACUUACGCUAAUACCGCAUACGACCUACGGGUGAAAGCAGGGGAUCUUCGGACCUUGCGCGAUUGAAUGAGCCGAUGUCGGAUUAGCUAGUUGGCGGGGUAAAGGCCCACCAAGGCGACGAUCCGUAGCUGGUCUGAGAGGAUGAUCAGCCACACUGGAACCGAGACACGGUCCAGACUCCUACGGGAGGCAGCAGUGGGGAAUAUUGGACAAUGGGCGCAAGCCUGAUCCAGCCAUACCGCGUGGGUGAAGAAGGCCUUCGGGUUGUAAAGCCCUUUUGUUGGGAAAGAAAAGCAGCAGGUUAAUACCCCGCUGUUCUGACGGUACCCAAAGAAUAAGCACCGGCUAACUUCGUG
rnacentral:rRNA from 1 species